CCCCUUUCCGGAGAUCGUAGAAGUGACCUGUGAUGGAAAAAUCUAGUACUGGCCAGCCUAUGGGCCUGUAAUGAGAAGAGACUGGACCCGGAAUUAGCUGUCCAGACCUGCCAGAUGAGCAGAAGCAGGCUGGACUGGAUGGGAUUGUGAAAAACAAACUUCAGGAAUCCAGAGACUGUGGGAGUGCUGUUUUCUUUCAGGGCCAGCAGAUUUCCUCAGAUGUUACUGGGCUGCUCUUUGGAAACCAGCCUCAUUAAUCCUGCUCUGAUGCCAAGAGGUAGCCCAGCAGCUCACACCUUGCCUUGCCCUGAGCCACUUUCUGUUCUGGCCAUCUCUGACGCCUUAUGCCGAAGCUGAUGUGGCUCAGCACCAAGUUCAGGCACCAAGAAGGUGCUUGUUAACUGGCAGUGUGGGAAAGGUCUCCUCUCUUUCACUGUCUGUAUAACGUUACUUCUUUCCCGGGCAGGGGUUAAUUUGUUGAAAAUGUGUGGAAGAGUUUUCACAGUUGGGGUGGGGGAAACGCGCCAAAUAGAAAUAUGAACUCUUCUAAGGUGCAUUCAGAGACACUUCUAACCUCCAGUUUCAUAGAAACCUCGGGCUCCUCUGUUGCUGUAUUAGCACGGGUUUUAUCCAGAAGGAGGCAUCACAGAACCUGAAUUUCAUUCACCGAAGGUUAAAAGGAAAUCCACAUUUCUUUGUGAUUGGAAACUAAAGUGUGUAGUCUUUAGAGGGCAUGUUUAAAGGCUCUUUGGUUAUCCCUGUAAUUGGUGAAAUUACUUUAAAGCUGUGAAAGAGGGGGGUGGUGAUAGUUUCCUACUCAGUGAAAACCUGAAGCCUGAGAUACUUAGAGAAACCUGUCCUAGGCGCAUGUGCCUUCACCAAGUGACAUGACGAUGAUCAAAACUGGCUUAUUUCCUAGUCAAAACAGUUGUGAAACUUGAGGAUAACCGUGAGGCCUUCCUCCCCUUCCAUACACACUUGUUCCCACUGCCCAUCAAAGUGAUCCUGGCUGACUUCGUUGGAGGCAGGGGUCAAGAAAACCUAAAUGGAUGGUUUAAUAGGUAAAUCUGCUGUGUUUUGGCACUUAAAAAUAAGUCACAAGGUUGAGGAUUCCAAAAAGGUGACUCGCCACCUGGUGACAGUCUCACAAAUCAGGGCUCUCAUGGAAAGAGAAGGUAAUCCUCUUCUGAAUUUGAGGUGGAAUCUGGCUUGCUGGUUCCUUCCCAGGAAUUCAUUCCUAGGCCAGCCAUGUCACUUAGGCUCAUGAGACAGCACCUCAGUGAAUGUCUACUCAC